GGCCAUUUGCUUUUUGGGCUUUAGCUCCUCCGCAGCUACCGCCCUUUGGUACUAGCUUUAUCUCAGCUGAUUGGCUACACUGUCCUCGAACUACCACCCACAUUGGCCUUUGAAUCGUGGUCCUAUGGGGCCUCAUUUUUUGCUUUCUAGGCAAGAGAGAAUUAUUUGUCCUUUUUCCUCCUGUUUUUCCCUUGUCCAAGCUCUACUCCUUUUUCUCUGUGUUCUUUUCCAAAGUAUUUUAGCAUCUCUUGCCAAGAUUGAGUGAUAGGGUUCUUUGUUUUCCCUUUUGUCAGUUAUCAAGUGGAAGAUGAACUAAUAUAGUCCCGUGCAUGAUCCAUGAAUUAGCAUCAGGAAGGAAGCCUAGAUGUUCUUUAUUCUCAUCUUCUUUGGGCAUCCUCUCAGAGUGUGAUUCAAUAACCAUUUACCGGGCUGGUGAUGUGUUUUCAUGCAUUUCACCGUAUCGUGUAUCUUAUAUGACCAUAAAUUCAACAUUUUAACAACAACAUUCAAUAGUGUUUGUUAUGUAAUUGUUAUUAUCAUGACUAGAAUGUACUACUGCAGGUGUUACCAAAUUAACAUAAUGAAUGUUAGGUAUGAUAAUGUUGGUUAUAUGAUUUGACGAGGGUGUCCAAAAUGUUCCCUGAUGUCACAAUUCACCACAAUUUGAUCCGUAAUCCCAUGCACAAUGUUGAUUCUAGCUUCAAUUCAUGUCCAUGAAAUUUAUCUUACCUACAUAUUUAUGAUAUGACUCAAAGUCGUUAUAUUUCUUUUCUAUAGUUUGAAUGGAAGACGACAAAUUAUCAUCAUUGGUGCAGUGGUUAGCACUCUUAGUCACUGUCAGGGUGGUAGCACACAUUGUAUUAGCUUACCUGGUGCCUCUUUGUUAAAUCAUCCUUAUUAUCAUAACCGAAAUGGGUAAAGCAUGGGCUUUCCAUCGCAAUCACACAUGAAGUGUUAGAGACAUGAGCACAUCAUCAUCAAUUAACAUAUUCAAUCCUCCUGUGUUAUGACAGUCAGGUUGUGAAGAAGGAAAAUUCAGUCAGAUAUAGUUAGUUGUUCCUGCUUGCAUAUGUUGGUUGCAGUAUGCUAGGAGAAAUGGCCCCUUAGGUGUCAUGUAGAGUGAUCUAGGAACUAAUUAAGGAAAUAUCAUGGUGACACAAUAUUUGAUUUGUUGUUGAGAAAUUGUCAUUUUUUUUUAUUCAUUUCAAUAUUGUGCAGCAUCAAUCUAAACUUUGAAGGCAUCCCAUAUGGUAGAUAGCUUCAUUUUUUUCCCCUCUUAAUAUGUAUGAUAUGAUAAAACCCAUCAGAGAUAUUGUCAGGUGAGUCCGUGAACCUUGAUUGGGGCUCUGAAACAAUGGUUAUUGAACGAAAAACAUGGAACCAACAUAUUUUAAUCAAGCAUUUAGGGCAAUUAAUGACAGAGGGUUAGCUUUGAUUGGUUUAACAAUAAGGUGAGCUCUCAUUAUCCUCUUAAGACAUGUAUUAUAACUUAACAUGGCAUGGCUAAUCUGAGUGGUUGCACAGGUAAAAUAUAAUGAAAGCCCAUUGUCCAUGGUGAAGAAAACCAGUAUAAAAACAGAGUGAAUCCCAAACCAGCAAAAUUAUGUUGGA